CUUUAUUAAAAUUUUUACAAAAAAUGAAUCAUUUUUGACUAAGAAUCCAUCUUAGUUUUCUUGCAACAAAAUCUUUUAUAUGUAAACAGCUUAAAAUGUUUGUAAUAACUGCAUAAUUAAUUUAUAUUACUUGUUAUUAAUCAAUUAAUGCAAUUUUGUUUUCGAAUUAAGCGAUUUUAAUAAUGUAUCAAUAUCGUAAAGAAACUCAAGUUUAUUUGAGCCGUAAGAUUUUCAAAUAUUGCUUAUCGGAAAAACCAAUAAAAGAGUCUAUACUCAAAAAUGUGACAAAAAUGGACUAUAUUAUGACUAUUGAAAUAGUUAAUGUUGAGAUAUGAUUUUUUACACGAAAUUUAGGAUAUGAUAUAGUUAAUUUCAAACUUUAGUUUAUUCGCCUUCAGUCUUCAUCAUGAACUACAAUAUAUUUUAAAUGUUGUGUAAAAUACAACGUAGAUACCAAGUAUCCUUUACAAUAAUGCAAGUAGUAAGAUAGCGAUUAUGACGGAUUAUUUUGGCGGGAAAACAAUUUGUCUGACCACUAACAUGGUUUUUUGGUGUACUCUGAGUAACGCAUUCAUUCAAUGGAUCCAUGACCGGUCUGAUCAGUUAUAUGGGUUAUCAUGUUAUCGUUGUCUGGAAAUGUUCAUUUCUUUAUUUAUUUUAUAGUUUAUAAAGUAAUAUAUUAUUUUAAAUGAUAAUGCGCAGUACUAUAUAAAGGUUUAAAAAAGUAAAUUAAUUAAAAAAAAAGUUAAUGAAUGGUUUCUUUUAGUAUUAACACAUGAUUAAAGUGGCAGUAACGGGUAAGAUACUUGAAGAUGCCAUGGGAGAAAUAAAAAAGGGCCAGAAGUCACGUGUCGAUAAAAAUGGGUUCGACGACCUUCUACAAACACAGGAGGGUGGCUAAAGUUAUUUAUAAAUAAACAUUUGAUCCUAAAGAUUUUUAUCAUUACAUAAGGUAAGCUUUGUUUUUUAUUGGUGAUUUUGUCGUUGACCUCAGAAUCAAUCGAUAGUAGUUUACUCGAAAGUUUACAGGAUUAUGAUAAAAUAAAAUCACCCUUAAUACUUGUAUGCAAUGAAAUUAUGCUUAACUUAUAAGACAAUUAUUUCAUAUUUGAUGUUGGAAUGUUAUAAGUUUAAUAUAAUUAUUGAAUCAAAAUAACAAUCAACAUAAUGAAGACUUGAGCUGCGUUUUAAAUAGAUGUCUUAUGCAUAUGACAACAAUAGUCACGCGAGAGAAGCACCGACAAUUUGUUUGAAAUAAAUUAUGGAAAAUGUUAUAAGAACUCAAAACAAAACCUUUAGAGUGUGAGGAUCGCCCUCAAAAUCGUUAUGGCAAAUCCUGAGUGCAGUCAUUAGUCGAAAUUGAAGAUAAUCGUGCAUGAUCAUGUGCAAUUAACGUUGGAUUUGUGCCAUGAUAACUCUAUAAAAAUUAAAAAAUCGCAAAUUAUUGCAACCCAAGUGAAAUCAAAUAUCAUAUGUCGUCAAUUCGGUUACAUGUCUUACAAAUAAAAAUCCCUUUGUUUAAAUCAUGAAUACAUAAAACACACUUUUUUGAAUUAAAAUAAUUUAGAGAAAAAUAUGGCAUAAUACUCGUGAUUCUUAAUUAAUUUAUAUAAAUGUUGUAGUGCAAAAUUUUCAUAAUAAAUACUACAGUACCUGAGUGUUUUUAGGAGGUAUCUUUUUAUCAACUUACCGACAAUUGAUUUAUGAUAUGGCUAUCUGAAAUGAUAAGUUAUGAUUAAAAAUUGAUUUACUACAUCAAAACUUAACUAAUAACCUUGAAAUGAAAAUUAGCAUAUUAUCGGGAGACUAAAUUGUAAAGCAUGAAUAUUAAGACAAGGUCAAACGCGAUAUUUAUUUUUACAAAUAUUUUGUCUCGACGUAAUUCAUGAAAACUUAACCUAGGAUAAUUGUUACGUUAUAAGUUGCAUUUACGGUUAAUUUUUUUUAUUAUAUUUUAAGGCUUCUCACAAUUUAUAGCAGUCGGGUUUGCUGUCAAGAUACAUUCAUAGAAAUUUGUUGCGGUGAAACUUAUGCAAUUAAACUCAUUAUAGAUUCAAAUAAAUAGAAAUAAGUAACAGAUGAUUUCAUUUUUUUCACUAAAAAGUUACAUUGUAAUAAUAAGUUUAAAUUCCCUGGAAACGAGAACAUACGAAAGAAAUAAUAACUAACAAAAUAUGUACGGAACACCAACUAUACUAUCGUAUUGCAGACUCAAGAGUAAAGAAUGGACUGGGCAUGUUUAAAGGGUACAUAGGAGAACUAUAAAUUGAGUUACAGAAGGAAGAAUUGUGGGGAUAAGACCGUUAGGAUGACCACGAACAUCACGGUAGGACACAGUAAAAAAAGAUUUCAAAAUGAUCAAUGAAAAAGUGCAAAUAGAGGAGCGAAUGAAUGAAAUAGUAGUGGCAGCAAUGGAUCUACAUGGUCCGCUAAGCUGUUAAGAAGAAAUAUUGCUUAAGCUAUUUCGUUUAUUUUAAAACAAUGUCUAUCUUAUUUUUAUUAACUUUUCAUAGGAGCAAAAUAAAUAUUUCCUGUAACCAUAAUAUAAUUUUCCUAAAUAUUGAGUUCAUAAUUCAUUCGACUUGUUGCAGUUAUUACUUAACUUAUUUUUGAAAAAUAUUAAAUAGAAAAAUUAU